rnacentral:rRNA from 1 species
UACGUAGGGUGCAAGCGUUGUCCGGAAUUAUUGGGCGUAAAGAGCUCGUAGGCGGUCUGUCGCGUCUGCUGUGAAAACUCAGGGCUUAACCCUGAGCUUGCAGUGGGUACGGGCAGACUAGAGUGCGGUAGGGGAGACUGGAAUUCCUGGUGUAGCGGUGAAAUGCGUAGAUAUCUGGAGGAACACCGGUGGCGAAGGCGGCAUUCUGGACCGACAUUGACGCUGAGGAGCGAAAGCCAGGGGAGCAAACGGG